rnacentral:rRNA from 1 species
UACGAAGGGUGCAAACGUUGCUCGGAAUUAUUGGGCGUAAAGCGCACGUAGGCGGCUUUGCAAGUCCCAUGUGAAAUCCCACGGCUCAACCGUGGAAGUGCAUGGGAAACUGCAGAGCUUGAGUACUUAAGAGGAUCGCGGAAUUCCCGGUGUAGAGGUGAAAUUCGUAGAUAUCGGGAGGAACACCAGUGGCGAAGGCGGCGACCUGGACGGACAUUGACGCUGAUGCACGAAAGGCUGGGGGGAGCAAACACGG